rnacentral:rRNA from 1 species
UGUGAGCUCGAUGAGUAGGGCGGGACACGUGGUAUCCUGUCUGAAUAUGGGGGGACCAUCCUCCAAGGCUAAAUACUCCUGACUGACCGAUAGUGAACCAGUACCGUGAGGGAAAGGCGAAAAGAACCCCGGCGAGGGGAGUGAAAAAGAACCUGAAACCGUGUACGUACAAGCAGUGGGAGCACGCUUAGGCGUGUGACUGCGUACCUUUUGUAUAAUGGGUCAGCGACUUAUAUUCUGUAGCAAGGUUAACCGAAUAGGGGAGCCGAAGGGAAACCGAGUCUUAACUGGGCGUUAAGUUGCAGGGUAUAGACCCGAAACCCGGUGAUCUAGCCAUGGGCAGGUUGAAGGUUGGGUAACACUAACUGGAGGACCGAACCGACUAAUGUUGAAAAAUUAGCGGAUGACUUGUGGCUGGGGGUGAAAGGCCAAUCAAACCGGGAGAUAGCUGGUUCUCCCCGAAAGCUAUUUAGGUAGCGCCUCGUGAAUUCAUCUCCGGGGGUAGAGCACUGUUUCGGCAAGGGGGUCAUCCCGACUUACCAACCCGAUGCAAACUGCGAAUACCGGAGAAUGUUAUCACGGGAGACACACGGCGGGUGCUAACGUCCGUCGUGAAGAGGGAAACAACCCAGACCGCCAGCUAAGGUCCCAAAGUCAUGGUUAAGUGGGAAACGAUGUGGGAAGGCCCAGACAGCCAGGAUGUUGGCUUAGAAGCAGCCAUCAUUUAAAGAAAGCGUAAUAGCUCACUGGUCGAGUCGGCCUGCGCGGAAGAUGUAACGGGGCUAAACCAUGCACCGAAGCUGCGGCAGCGACGCUGAUGCGUUGUUGGGUAGGGGAGCGUUCUGUAAGCCUGCGAAGGUGUGCUGUGAGGCAUGCUGGAGGUAUCAGAAGUGCGAAUGCUGACAUAAGUAACGAUAAAGCGGGUGAAAAGCCCGCUCGCCGGAAGACCAAGGGUUCCUGUCCAACGUUAAUCGGGGCAGGGUGAGUCGACCCCUAAGGCGAGGCCGAAAGGCGUAGUCGAUGGGAAACAGGUUAAUAUUCCUGUACUUGGUGUUACUGCGAAGGGGGGACGGAGAAGGCUAUGUUGGCCGGGCGACGGUUGUCCCGGUUUAAGCGUGUAGGCUGGUUUUCCAGGCAAAUCCGGAAAAUCAAGGCUGAGGCGUGAUGACGAGGCACUACGGUGCUGAAGCAACAAAUGCCCUGCUUCCAGGAAAAGCCUCUAAGCAUCAGGUAACAUCAAAUCGUACCCCAAACCGACACAGGUGGUCAGGUAGAGAAUACCAAGGCGCUUGAGAGAACUCGGGUGAAGGAACUAGGCAAAAUGGUGCCGUAACUUCGGGAGAAGGCACGCUGAUAUGUAGGUGAAGUCCCUCGCGGAUGGAGCUGAAAUCAGUCGAAGAUACCAGCUGGCUGCAACUGUUUAUUAAAAACACAGCACUGUGCAAACACGAAAGUGGACGUAUACGGUGUGACGCCUGCCCGGUGCCGGAAGGUUAAUUGAUGGGGUCAGCGCAAGCGAAGCUCUUGAUCGAAGCCCCGGUAAACGGCGGCCGUAACUAUAACGGUCCUAAGGUAGCGAAAUUCCUUGUCGGGUAAGUUCCGACCUGCACGAAUGGCGUAAUGAUGGCCAGGCUGUCUCCACCCGAGACUCAGUGAAAUUGAACUCGCUGUGAAGAUGCAGUGUACCCGCGGCAAGACGGAAAGACCCCGUGAACCUUUACUAUAGCUUGACACUGAACAUUGAGCCUUGAUGUGUAGGAUAGGUGGGAGGCUUGGAAGUGUGGACGCCAGUCUGCAUGGAGCCGACCUUGAAAUACCACCCUUUAAUGUUUGAUGUUCUAACGUUGACCCGUAAUCCGGGUUGCGGACAGUGUCUGGUGGGUAGUUUGACUGGGGCGGUCUCCUCCUAAAGAGUAACGGAGGAGCACGAAGGUUGGCUAAUCCUGGUCGGACAUCAGGAGGUUAGUGCAAUGGCAUAAGCCAGCUUGACUGCGAGCGUGACGGCGCGAGCAGGUGCGAAAGCAGGUCAUAGUGAUCCGGUGGUUCUGAAUGGAAGGGCCAUCGCUCAACGGAUAAAAGGUACUCCGGGGAUAACAGGCUGAUACCGCCCAAGAGUUCAUAUCGACGGCGGUGUUUGGCACCUCGAUGUCGGCUCAUCACAUCCUGGGGCUGAAGUAGGUCCCAAGGGUAUGGCUGUUCGCCAUUUAAAGUGGUACGCGAGCUGGGUUUAGAACGUCGUGAGACAGUUCGGUCCCUAUCUGCCGUGGGCGCUGGAGAACUGAGGGGGGCUGCUCCUAGUACGAGAGGACCGGAGUGGACGCAUCACUGGUGUUCGGGUUGUCAUGCCAAUGGCACUGCCCGGUAGCUAAAUGCGGAAGAGAUAAGUGCUGAAAGCAUCUAAGCACGAAACUUGCCCCGAGAUGAGUUCUCCCUGACUCCUUGAGAGUCCUGAAGGAACGUUGAAGACGACGACGUUGAUAGGCCGGGUGUGUAAGCGCAGCGAUGCGUUGAGCUAACCGGUACUAAUGAACCGUGAGGCUUAACCUU